UUUCAAGCUGCCGGUCUGUAGAUUAGCUAGAGUGCCCUUGCUUCAGACCCUAGGUCUGUAGGUCAACUGAAGAAAUUCUGCCCCAUGCAUCUUAUUCUGGAGCUCAGAAUGUUCUUAUCAUGUAAGUUGAAUGCUCCCAGAGGGCCAAGCAGAAAAGUAUUAAGGUAUCUCAUCUUAACACUUGGACCUCGCUCCUUGCUACCCAGAUUCUGUUGGUCAAACAAGUCCCAUCGCCAAGCUUCACAUCAAGGGGGUGGGAGGCUAUAUUCCUCUCACAAAGGUGGAGGAGAAAUUACAUGUUGAGCAAAUAUCUAACUAUCACAGUUACUACAGAGGGGGACUUACUAACCCAAGGUCAAACCUGCCUGAUCACAACAGAAGAAAGUGCCACACAUGUGGUCAUACCCUUCAUUAUGACGUGAGCGCUCUGUGCCUUGGGAUUCCAGCUGAAGACCAGCAUGCCCGCAAGAAGUCUAACCCUCUCCUGGUCUUUCUAAGAAAGGCAUCUUGAAUGAAGGCCAGAAAUUAGCAACAAAAUUGCAGAAGGGAGUGAUAUGCAGGAAGACCUGAAAGGGAGAAGUUUGCAAACGAGGAACUGGCACUGUUGAUCUAGCACCGUCCAUGGGCUACACCUCCGAGCAUGGCUGACGUGGCUACCGAAGUGAGCAGAAGGGGCAUCCAUGGAUGGUUCAGCUGACUCAGCAGAGCCUGGAGGACACAACCCUGCAGAUUUUUGUCCUUGCUUUGCUCAAAUUCCAUAUGCAUUAAGCAACCUUCUGAUUCAAUGUAGUUUCAUGAUGCAACCAACAUUUAUUGAGCAUUAAUUGUAUUAGUUUUCUG
rnacentral:lncRNA from 1 species